rnacentral:rRNA from 1 species
ACUCCUGCGGGAGGCAGCAGUGGGGAAUAUUGGACAAUGGGCGCAAGCCUGAUCCAGCCAUGCCGCGUGAGUGAUGAAGGCCCUAGGGUUGUAAAGCUCUUUCACCGGUGAAGAUAAUGACGGUAACCGGAGAAGAAGCCCCGGCUAACUUCGUGCCAGCAGCCGCGGUAAUACGAAGGGGGCUAGCGUUGUUCGGAUUUACUGGGCGUAAAGCGCACGUAGGCGGACUAUUAAGUCAGGGGUGAAAUCCCGGGGCUCAACCCCGGAACUGCCUUUGAUACUGGUAGUCUUGAGUUCGAGAGAGGUGAGUGGAAUUCCGAGUGUAGAGGUGAAAUUCGUAGAUAUUCGGAGGAACACCAGUGGCGAAGGCGGCUCACUGGCUCGAUACUGACGCUGAGGUGCGAAAGCGUGGGGGGCAAACAGGAUUAGAAACCCUGGUAGUCCCAUGA